rnacentral:lncRNA from 10 species
UUCACUUGAUAGUUUGGCCUUAUGGAGACAUCAUCUAGUUGGAUGUUGAAGAUUUUGGUUUGGCAACAUGCCCUGUGGACAGAUGGAAGACUCCGGGCCUCACAUGCUCAUAGCCUUCUCGUGGUCUCAAAAGCUACCUCCUGUGGUCCAUCUAGAAGGAAGAACUGAGAUAAACUCCCUCGCAGAGGGACGAUGCCUAUGGGUUCCAAAGAGAGUCAAAAGCACUCAUUUCUCCGAGAUACUGCAAUACAGACUGAUGUAUGAAUUCUCACUGCACCCCCAGUAUUAGAAUGGAAGCUCCAUGAGGGAAAAGACAUUGCCUUGUUCACUGCGGAUUCCAGGUACCUAAACCAAUUCCUGACACAAAGCAGUGGUUCAGUAAAUAUUUGCGAAUAAGCAAAUAAAUGAAUGGAUCAUGUAACCAGGACACUGACCAACUCUCUGGCUUGCACAACGCUAAGAAGAGACUUAAAGCUGAUGGUUAAAUCUUCUUGUGUCUGCUCAUCACCAAAAGGACACCUCUUGUGUCCAGUGUCUGGAGGGAAAAAUUCAAAUUCAAAUGCGGAACCUGCUUGCAAACAUAGCAUUGUCUGUGAUGUGGUCCUGUGGAGUCAAUCAAAAGUCCUGUUCAGACAGCUUUUUGCUGUGUUCAUCCUAUAAAAUUUCAGACUGAAGCCUGACUGAAAAAAAAAUGCUUAAGAGAUGUUGGAGUCAACAAGAUGUUGAAUACCUCAUGGCAGUGGUGAACUUGCUGUAAGCCUAUGAGCAGAAGUUCAAUCCAAGGAUGGAUGCACACCUAUUAAGAAUGCCUUGGGGCUCAGUGCGGUGGCUCACACCUGUAAUCCCAGCGUUUUGGAGGCCAAGGUGGGUGGAUCUGAGGUCAGAAGUUCAAGAACAGUCUGGCCAACAUGGCAAAACCCUGUCUCUACUAAAAAUACAAAAAGUAGCCGGGCGUGAUGGCGGGCACCUGUAAUCCCAGCUACUCCAGAGGCUGAGGCUUGAGCCUGGGAAGCAGAGGUUGCAGUGAGCCAAGAUCAUGCCACUGCAUUCCAGCCUGGGCAACACAGUGAGUCUCUGUCUCAAACAAACACACACGAAAAAGAGUGCCUUGGAAAGAACUCCAAAAUGAAAAUGAGUGAGAGGUCAGAAAUUAGAACCUAAGGUUCCUUAUGACUUUGACAUGUUACAAUCUGUGGUAGGCAGAAUAAUGGCCCCAUCAAAAUGUUCACACCCUAAGCCUGGUCCUGGGAUUCUGUUAACUCACAUGACAAAAGGGACUUUGCAGGUGUGAUUAAAAUGUAAAUCCUUGAAAUGGGAGUUUGCCCUGGAUUAUCCAAGAGGGCCCCAAAUUACUACUUAAAUUCUUUAAAAAAAAAAAAAAGACUCUUCCUGGCUUUGAUCAGAGUGAAAAAUAUGAAGUGUCAGAGUGAUGCGACAUUGUCAGCUUUAAAGAUGGACAAAAGGGCCAUGAGUCAAAGCACAAGGGUGGCCCCUAGAAGCUGGAAAACGCAAGGAAAUGAAUUCUGUACUUGAGCCUCUGAUGUGGUUUAGCUGCGUCCCCACCCAAAUCUUGAAUUGUAGCUCCCAUAAUUUCCACGUGUCAUGGGAGGGACCCAGUGGAGGGUAAUUGAAUCAUGGGGGCAGGUCUUUCCCAUGUUGUUCUCCUGAUAGCAUAUAAGUCUCAGGAGAUCUGAUGGUUUUAUAAAGGGCAGUUCCCCUGCACAUGCUUUCUCUCUUGCCUGCCGCCAUGUAAGAUGUCCCUUUCCUCUUCCUUCAUCUUCCGCCAUGAUUGUGUGGCCUCCCCAGCCAUGUGGAACUGUGAGUCCAUUAAACCUCUUUCCUCUGUAAACUACCCAGUCUUGGAUAUGUCUUUAUUAGCAGCG